AUUACUUAAAGCCACUUGAACUUGAACAUUGUCUUCGGUUGUAGGUUUAGUAGCACCUGCUCCCCGCAUAUCAAAAAGUUCAAUUUUCUUAUUUCCAAAGAUACACAUAUAUCUGAAGUGCAACCAUGUACAAAAAAAUUAUUUGAAUGCAUAUUGUAGGUAAAAAAACCGUACCUUACUAGGGUUAGGGUUUCGUGUUGACUGAGGAGGAGAGAAAUCCACAAAGAGUAUGGUCUUAAUUGAGUGGUUGAAGAGAGGAGAAGAACAGGUAAGCAAUUGCUCGAGUAACACAUGGCAGAACUCUUAGAAUUCAAGAGUCUUCUUCAAAUUCUUCAGUUCAUAGAGAAUCCAAAAGUCCCCUUCUAUUGAAAUGAAGGGGGUAUUUAUAGAGUUUCUUGAAAAAUGGUCACGUGCCUGGCACAUGUCUGGGUCUUGUCCAUGGCAUGUGAUUUCAGCAGAAAUUCCAGAAAUACCCUUAGUUACUUAAGUAAUGCCUAAAUCAUCUUGUCUUUCUAGCCACCAAUCCAAUCCCUCAAUCAAUUCCCAAAAUGACUCGUCCCCACGAGCCUUCUGCCUCGGGACACGUGGAGACUUCUCUGGUUCAUUUAAUUCUUUAGAUCACACGUGAGCCCUAAUUUUGUACUCAGACUCACAUUUGCCCCCUGCACGUGAGUCACGUCUUCGGAGUGACGAUCGUGCAAAAAUAUUUUGAGUCUUUGAAUCCUGCUUCAAAUUUUCUGAAUAAUCCACGGAGCUCGAUCUUGCAAGCCUCGUAAAAAACAAAAAAAAAUCAUAUGAGAAUCAUUUAUCAAAUUUGUUUCCAAAUUUUGCUCAAUCAAAUUAAAUCUAAAAAACUUGUCAAUCAAAGAAUUAGUUGCAACAAUUAAUAAUAUAUAUAAAUUAUUCAUAAUUCGUAAAUGAAGUUGCAUAAUAG
rnacentral:lncRNA from 1 species